UAGCCAUAAUGCCCUUGAUAUUGCCGU
rnacentral:piRNA from 1 species